rnacentral:rRNA from 1 species
AUUGAACGCUGGCGGCAGGCCUAACACAUGCAAGUCGAACGGUAGCACAGAGAGCUUGCUCUCGGGUGACGAGUGGCGGACGGGUGAGUAAUGUCUGGGAAACUGCCUGAUGGAGGGGGAUAACUACUGGAAACGGUAGCUAAUACCGCAUAACGUCGCAAGACCAAAGAGGGGGACCUUCGGGCCUCUUGCCAUCAGAUGUGCCCAGAUGGGAUUAGCUAGUAGGUGGGGUAACGGCUCACCUAGGCGACGAUCCCUAGCUGGUCUGAGAGGAUGACCAGCCACACUGGAACUGAGACACGGUCCAGACUCCUACGGGAGGCAGCAGUGGGGAAUAUUGCACAAUGGGCGCAAGCCUGAUGCAGCCAUGCCGCGUGUAUGAAGAAGGCCUUCGGGUUGUAAAGUACUUUCAGCGGGGAGGAAGGCGAUAAGGUUAAUAACCUUGUCGAUGGACGUUACCCGCAGAAGAAGCACCGGCUAACUCCGU